CCUACGGGAGGCAGCAGUGGGGGAUAUUGCACAAUGGGGGGAACCCUGAUGCAGCGACGCCGCGUGGGUGAAGGAGUGCUUCGGCAUGUAAAGCCCUAUCGGCAGGGAAGAAGCAAGACGGUACCUGACUAAGAAGCCCCUGCGAACUACGUGCCAGCAGCCGCGGUAAUACGUAGGGGGCGAGCGUUAUCCGGAUUCACUGGGUGUAAAGGGAGCGUAGACGGCCAUGCAAGCCAGGGGUGAAAGCCCGGGGCCCAACCCCGGGACUGCCCUUGAAACUGUGCGGCGUGAGUGCGGGGGGGGAAGGCGGAAUUCCUGGUGUAGCGGUGAAAUGCGUAGAUAUCAGGAAGAACGCCGGCGGCGAAAGCGGCCUGCUGGACCGCGACUGACGUUGAGGCUCGAAAGCGUGGGGAGCGAACAGGAUUAGAUACCCCUGUAGUC
rnacentral:rRNA from 1 species